AAGCCGUGUUCCGAUACGAUCACCGAAGUUAAGCAACAUCCACCUAAGUCAGUACUUAGAUGGGUGACCACUUGGGAAUGGCAGGUGCUGUAAG